GGUCAAAUAUAAUUUCAGCCGUUUUUAGUGUCUGUUCAUCGGGUGUAUGAAAUUCAACCAAAGUUAGCUCUUUAAUAGAAUAAUCUCCGCGGGGAAAUUCGAUUUGAGAAUUUGUCUUGUGUCUAUCUACUCGUGAAGUAUUUUUUUUUUUUUUUAGGAAGAGGGACACGCGUUCACGUAAAAACAUCCAGUAACAGCCAACGGCAUUAAUUAAUAAAAUACGAUAUUCUACAAUUUAGCAGUCCGAUACCUCCGCGGUGAACGUGGUUUU